GAGUUUGAUCCUGGCUCAGGACGAACGCUGGCGGCGCGCCUAACACAUGCAAGUCGAACGAGAGAGAGGGAGCUUGCUUCCUCAAUCGAGUGGCGAACGGGUGAGUAACACGUGAGGAACCUGCCUCAAAGAGGGGGACAACAGUUGGAAACGACUGCUAAUACCGCAUAAGCCCACAGCUCGGCAUCGAGCAGAGGGAAAAGGAGCAAUCCGCUUUGAGAUGGCCUCGCGUCCGAUUAGCUAGUUGGUGAGGUAACGGCCCACCAAGGCGACGAUCGGUAGCCGGACUGAGAGGUUGAACGGCCACAUUGGGACUGAGACACGGCCCAGACUCCUACGGGAGGCAGCAGUGGGGAAUAUUGCACAAUGGGGGAAACCCUGAUGCAGCGACGCCGCGUGGAGGAAGAAGGUCUUCGGAUUGUAAACUCCUGUUGUUGAGGAAGAUAAUGACGGUACUCAACAAGGAAGUGACGGCUAACUACGUGCCAGCAGCCGCGGUAAAACGUAGGUCACAAGCGUUGUCCGGAAUUACUGGGUGUAAAGGGAGCGCAGGUGGGAAGACAAGUUGGAAGUGAAAUCUAUGGGCUCAACCCAUAAACUGCUUUCAAAACUGUUUUUCUUGAGUAGUGCAGAGGUAGGCGGAAUUCCCGGUGUAGCGGUGGAAUGCGUAGAUAUCGGGAGGAACACCAGUGGCGAAGGCGGCCUACUGGGCACCAACUGACGCUGAGGCUCGAAAGUGUGGGUAGCAACAGGAUUAGAUACCCUGGUAGUCCACACCGUAAACGAUGAUUACUAGGUGUUGGAGGAUUGACCCCUUCAGUGCCGCAGUUAACACAAUAAGUAAUCCACCUGGGGAGUACGACCGCAAGGUUGAAACUCAAAGGAAUUGACGGGGGCCCGCACAAGCAGUGGAGUAUGUGGUUUAAUUCGACGCAACGCGAAGAACCAUACCAAGUCUUGACAUCCUGCGACGGACAUAGAAAUAUGUCUUUCCUUCGCGACGCAGAGACAGGUGGUGCAUGGUUGUCGUCAGCUCGUGUCGUGAGAUGUUGGGUUAAGUCCCGCAACGAGCGCAACCCUUACUGUCAGUUACUACGCAAGAGGACUCUGGCAGGACUGCCGUUGACAAAACGGAGGAAGGUGGGGAUGACGUCAAAUCAUCAUGCCCUUUAUGACUUGGGCUACACACGUACUACAAUGGCGUUAAACAAAGAGAAGCAAGACCGCGAGGUGGAGCAAAACUCAGAAACAACGUCCCAGUUCGGACUGCAGGCUGCAACUCGCCUGCACGAAGUCGGAAUUGCUAGUAAUCGUGGAUCAGCAUGCCACGGUGAAUACGUUCCCGGGCCUUGUACACACCGCCCGUC
rnacentral:rRNA from 1 species